rnacentral:rRNA from 1 species
AAGACCUUGCGCUUUUGGAGCGGCCGAUGUCUGAUUAGCUUGUUGGUGAGGUAAAAGCUUACCAAGGCUUCGAUCAGUAGUUGGUCUGAGAGGACGGCCAGCCACACUGGGACUGAGACACGGCCCAGACUCCUACGGGAGGCAGCAGUGGGGAAUUUUGGACAAUGGGGGCAACCCUGAUCCAGCCAUGCCGCGUGAGUGAAGAAGGCCUUCGGGUUGUAAAGCUCUUUCAGCCGGAACGAAACGGUUACGGUUAAUACCCGUGACUACUGACGGUACCGGAAGAAGAAGCACCGGCUAACUACGUGCCAGCAGCCGCGGUAAUACGUAGGGUGCAAGCGUUAAUCGGAAUUACUGGGCGUAAAGCGUGCGCAGGUGGUUUUGUAAGUCAGAUGUGAAAUCCCCGGGCUUAACCUGGGAACU